CAACUUUUAACAACGGAUCUCUUGGCUCUCGCAUCGAUGAAGAACGCAGCGAAAUGCGAUAAGUAAUGUGAAUUGCAGAAUUCAGUGAAUCAUCGAAUCUUUGAACGCACCUUGCGCUCUCUGGUAUUCCGGGGAGCACACCUGUUCGAGUGUCAUUA
rnacentral:rRNA from 5 species